GAUGAACGCUGGCGGCGUGCCUAAUACAUGCAAGUCGAGCGAACGGACGAGAAGCUUGCUUCUCUGAUGUUAGCGGCGGACGGGUGAGUAACACGUGGAUAACCUACUUAUAAGACUGGGAUAACUUCGGGAAACCGGAGCUAAUACCGGAUAAUAUUUUGAACCGCAUGGUUCAAAAGUGAAAGACGGUCUUGCUGUCACUUAUAGAUGGAUCCGCGCUGCAUUAGCUAGUUGGUAAGGUAACGGCUUACCAAGGCAACGAUGCAUAGCCGACCUGAGAGGGUGAUCGGCCACACUGGAACUGAGACACGGUCCAGACUCCUACGGGAGGCAGCAGUAGGGAAUCUUCCGCAAUGGGCGAAAGCCUGACGGAGCAACGCCGCGUGAGUGAUGAAGGUCUUCGGAUCGUAAAACUCUGUUAUUAGGGAAGAACAUAUGUGUAAGUAACUGUGCACAUCUUGACGGUACCUAAUCAGAAAGCCACGGCUAACUACGUGCCAGCAGCCGCGGUAAUACGUAGGUGGCAAGCGUUAUCCGGAAUUAUUGGGCGUAAAGCGCGCGUAGGCGGUUUUUUAAGUCUGAUGUGAAAGCCCACGGCUCAACCGUGGAGGGUCAUUGGAAACUGGAAAACUUGAGUGCAGAAGAGGAAAGUGGAAUUCCAUGUGUAGCGGUGAAAUGCGCAGAGAUAUGGAGGAACACCAGUGGCGAAGGCGACUUUCUGGUCUGUAACUGACGCUGAUGUGCGAAAGCGUGGGGAUCAAACAGGAUUAGAUACCCUGGUAGUCCACGCCGUAAACGAUGAGUGCUAAGUGUUAGGGGGUUUCCGCCCCUUAGUGCUGCAGCUAACGCAUUAAGCACUCCGCCUGGGGAGUACGACCGCAAGGUUGAAACUCAAAGGAAUUGACGGGGACCCGCACAAGCGGUGGAGCAUGUGGUUUAAUUCGAAGCAACGCGAAGAACCUUACCAAAUCUUGACAUCCUUUGACAACUCUAGAGAUAGAGCUUUCCCCUUCGGGGGACAAAGUGACAGGUGGUGCAUGGUUGUCGUCAGCUCGUGUCGUGAGAUGUUGGGUUAAGUCCCGCAACGAGCGCAACCCUUAAGCUUAGUUGCCAUCAUUAAGUUGGGCACUCUAAGUUGACUGCCGGUGACAAACCGGAGGAAGGUGGGGAUGACGUCAAAUCAUCAUGCCCCUUAUGAUUUGGGCUACACACGUGCUACAAUGGACAAUACAAAGGGCAGCGAAACCGCGAGGUCAAGCAAAUCCCAUAAAGUUGUUCUCAGUUCGGAUUGUAGUCUGCAACUCGACUACAUGAAGCUGGAAUCGCUAGUAAUCGUAGAUCAGCAUGCUACGGUGAAUACGUUUCCGGGUCU
rnacentral:rRNA from 1 species